rnacentral:lncRNA from 1 species
CAUAAAUCUGAUCAGACUAAAUACUUUUUUGGAGAUACGAAGGAUGCAAUACUACUCUAUAGGUACUCGAGAUUAACAUGAGAUUGGCAGAAACUGUGUGUUAUGUCCCCUUUAACAGAAAACACUUUUCAAGAACUACAACAAAUGUCGUACAAUAAAACAUGACAGAAGUAUUUUGAGCUUGUGUUAACCACAAACCUUAUUUCAGGAAUCAACAACCCAUUCGAGUGCUGCACAAAUCAGUCAAAAAAGGCACUUCAGUCUUGAUAUUCAUUAGAUAUUUAAUUGCGGACAUUUAUUUUUUGUUUUACAUAACUCUUGCUAUUACCAGAUAUAACCUUUUUAGAGCACUGUUCCUUAAAGAGCGCUUUCCCAUAUAGGAAAUUCCUAUAGGACAUUCAUCUCACCUAUUCAACUCUUCAUCUCAACAUAAAUAGUUAUGCUAAUUUACAUCCUUGUAUUUAUUUUACAGGUGACAAUAGUGUUGUGGUGUUGGUUUUAUGUGGGUUCAUUUCUGUAAUGUUAUCUGUCAUCAUCCUCAUGCUGUUCCUCCGGCUCUGCAGGAAGAAAGAGAAGGAAUGUUUUAAGCAUUGUGAGUAACACAAUACACACAUGAACGCAAACACAUUUUUUCUCAGAGGUUUUGUGGGUUAAUCUUACCUCUCACUGGUCUCUUCUCUUCAUUAGUUGUCAGGCAGUGCUCGUUGGGUGAUAUGGAGGUGAGUAAAGAGUUAAUGCACAUUUCUGUAGUAUGUGAGCAUGUCAUGAAUCAUCUGACUCACAGUCCUUCUUUUCUUCAGGUGGACAGUGAGACUACACCUCCUACCAGCCAACCAAAUGAGCAGCCCCAUGCCCAGGAGAUGCUGUCACAUGGCAGCACACCCACCAAUCACAACACAAACUGCUCAUUUCAUCAGCCAAUCAGCUCAGAGCAGGCUGUGCCUCCAGCUGGCAAUUUAGGCCCUCUUCACAUCUACGGUCCCCAGACAGUUUUUGUUAGUUUGCUCAAUCAAUUUGGAUGGAAUGGCGGCGAGAAAAAAGCACACGAACUCCAAGAAGAAUCACUAAACAACACCAACGUGUCCUACCCUCAGUCUCCCCCCGUCCAUCUGUCUGAGGAGGAAAGGAGCAGAGAGAACGAUUUUAUCUUCUUCCCAUCUCAGGAGCAAGGUAAAGAGUGCCACAUAUCUAAAGAAGAGGUGCUGUGAGGGAUGAUGGAAUACUUGUGUCCGUUCUUCUUCCGUGCUGUUCAGCUGCUGCGUGGUUUGUUUUAACUGAUGCUUCGUGAGUACCCAGUAUUAAAACUCUAACCCUGGCAGGGGAUUUCAUCUAGAGAGCAACAGGCUGCGUUAGGGGAAGACCUGGGUGUUUGACUAACAGUAUGGACGACAUAAGUGUUGCGUAUGAGCUUGACAGUUCAUGCCAGCUUGGCAGUAUUACCCAUAAUGUACGUUUACGCGGAAACACUGAUUCUAAACCAUCAGAACGGCAGCGGGAUGCUGAUGUUGACUGCAUGAAGAGUCGACACCAAAGGCUCAUGAUGGUUGACUGACCCUCAGGAACAGUGUUUGAAAGCAAAGAGCAGCUCUAAAACCCUCAGAAGACCAAAGAUUCACAUAUGUUGAGAUAUUUAUUUUAUGUAAAGUUUAUAUUCGUCACAAAACAUUUUUAUUUAUUUGUAACUCUUAUUAAUUAUAUUACAGUUGUUAAAAACAAAAACUUUUUUUGUUCUCAUGCAGUUUAUCAGUGUUCGAUCGUGUUAAGUCCCUGGUUAAUGUUGUCAGUGUUCUUCCUCUUUUCUUUGGUUUUUAUGCGACAGACAUGAUGGAUUAUGCCAUCAAAAAGCCCUGACAUUUUGAUGGUGGUCUGGAAAUGUCAACGUUGUUUCUUCAUUCAGAAGUCAAUAAGCAAUGGCUUCAUCAUAUAUUAUGUUUUAUAUUCACUGUAAUACACAUUUUUUAUGCUUGAUAUUAAGUGUAAAGUGCAAUAAAAUCAAUAAAGGUUUAUUUUUUUGGUAUGUUGCACUGAGUACCUAAUUAAUUUCACUGCAAGAUAGCAAAUACAAAUACAACUACAAUUCCGUUUUCUAUUUUAUGGUAGCUGACACAAAAUAUAAUCUUGUAACUGACAUGCUAUAUUCCCAUAACAUAUUUAAAAUGUUUUGUUCAUUCUGUUAUCAUUUUAUACAUACAGCUUCUAU